UUACUGAACACACAGAUUGCAGAUCUGGAGGUAGCUUUAAAAGUGAAACAAGUCUCGCCCUGGUUGUGUUUGGGUUUCCAACCUCUGAGGACCUAAACUGCUUUAGAAUAAAAUAGAGGGGGGAGAAGGAAAAAAAAUCACAUUUUUGGUUGAAAUAACUUUAGCACAGUUCACACUUGCUUUUAAGCUUAUUUUCAAAGAAAUUACUUACAGGCCAAACGGAUAGUUAUGCAUUUAGGUCAGUCAGGAGGAAGAGGAGGGAGAAUAGUGUUGGAGGACGGUAGAGGAAAGCUCAGCUUCAAAAGAGGAAGAGAGUGGUCAAACCAAUUAUAAUUAUGUGGAAAGUUUUAGGGCACAGUAGGGGAUGGUUAUUGAUCCCUGCUAACCAAAAAAGGCUGAUAGAAAUGGAAAAAAAGCAGUUCAGUCAGCUAAUUGGAGUUAAUGUUGUGGAGCAGACUCUUCCUGGCAGAACAUGGGGAACCAGCUUUUGGACUGCUGUGAGCCGAGUCUGCAGCAAACAGGUUUUCAACAGACGGGAGGUCCUGACACAAAAGGUCAUCAACUGGACUGUCCUGCACACACGUGGCAUCAAACAAAAGCGGUAAAAAGGAGUUGUUGGUGUGCGCAGGUGAAUCACAUGGACAUGGGCCGGGUCGACAGCUGGUGUAAAGUGGGCUCUGCAGGCGUCCUUCCCUCGGAUUACAUUUUAAUGGAUUAAAACUAAACAGCAAUCAAUAAAGCGGCAACACGCCCAUACAUCUGCAUGCCGACGCAGCUGGACAACACAAUUAAAUUAGUGCAUCUGGCACACAGUGUCAAACCCUACAAGCACACACACUGUGGACUGAAGGACAGAUGCUACCCCCUCACCCUUCUUUUCAUCAUCCUCUCAAAGCCAGCUGCAAAGAAGAUUUGGGACUGACGAGUUCUGUCCCUUUCCCCCCCCCCCUUGAACCCCAUGCUCCUAGCCCCUUCAGCCUUGGUCUUCAAUAAACUUUUGUCUUUCAUGGAAUGAUUGCCGCUUCAGACAAAGGAAAAAGAUGAAGGUCAAUUAAAGUUUGGCUCCAGCUUUGGAUGAAUUUUUCCUCUGCAGGCAUCUAUCUGCAUGUUUUAGACUCUUUGUCAACAUCGAGAAAGUUGAUUUUUAUUUUAAUCGUCAGAAACUUUUUGUUUGAGGAAAGUUGGAGGAAAAACUGACAAAAGUUCUUCCAACUUAGCUUCACUACUUUUUAUACAAACAUCUCCCAAUGGACUGGAACAGGUGCAAAACUGUUUUUGUG
rnacentral:lncRNA from 1 species